GACAGAGGCCUCGAGCGUUAGGCGGAAUCACUGGGCUUAAAGCGUGUGUAGGCGGGCCCGUAAGUGUCUUGUGAAAUCCCACGGCUCAACCGUGGAACUGCUGGGCAUACUGCGGGUCUGGGCCAACUAGGGGCAGCCGGAACAAGCGGUGGAGCGGUGAAAUGCGUAGAUAUCAGGAAGAACACCCGUGGCGAAGGCGGCUCUCUGGGACGGUACUGACGCUGAGACGCGAAAGCGUGGGGAGCGAACAGG
rnacentral:rRNA from 1 species